rnacentral:lncRNA from 9 species
GUCCAUUAUAAGGUACCCAUAGAAUCCAUCAAAUUUUUAAACCACUACUCUCUUCCUGUUCAAAAACGCAAAUUAAUUAUAGAGGCAAAUAAAAAAAAAAGUUAGGAAGGAACAACCAUGGACAAAUUGGAACGUGAAUUUAUAAGGAGAAAAAGAAAGAGGAUUCCAUCAUUGCUGCUAAACCCUCAAGCUCUAUUCCCCAAGCUUACCCAAGUGUUCAUAAGUGAGCACAUUACCCUCACUGGAGGUGUUUCCUCCUAGAAUGUUUUCAUAAAUAUUGCCAUAUUUUAAUUUUCACAGAAGUCAUGAAAACUACAAACCAUUAUUAUUCCAUAUCGGAGAGAAAGAAAACAAGGUUAUGUUAGGCUAAAUAAGUUGUUUAAAAUCAUAGGAUCGAGAUUAGAAUCCAUGAGUCUAACUAAAAGACUGUACUGUUUAUAUGGAUACAUCGAGGACAAGGGCUUCCAACAGUGUUUGGAUUGCUCAAUGAAAUUUGUAUCCUCUUGAACAGAACACAAAUACCAAGUAGACUUGGGACCUGAUUGUUCAACUGCAUAAAGUAGAAGUAGAUAAAAGAAUAAAGUGAGACUCUCAUCUCCUGGCUUUAGCACUCUAGGUACAAGUUCAGGAGGAAGGAGACAUGCUAGCUAUUUAGUGAGGAUGCCAAAAACAAAAAGACUUUGCCCCAGUUCACUUGGGAAUCUAGGAAGAGACAGCAUUGCAGCAAUUCCACCACCACCAGUGACUAAGGAAUUAGCAAAGCAGAAUAAUGGCAAUAGGCAAAGAAAGAAUCUGAGCUAAUGGUUUCAGGCUGUCCUUCUCUCCUAUGCAGCACAGAAGAAACCUAGAAGUUCCUUUGUGCCUGAGGUACAACAGAAGACAAGGACAUCCAGCACACUACCAACCAACCACACACCAGCAUUGGACAACCAAUCCUCACCCAAGAACAACUCAGCUACCCUGCAGCCAAGACUAGCACAAGAUCAAGGCCACCCCCUCUCUCACCAUAGUGCCCUGAGAUCAUCAAUAUUUCUCCUAAACCCAAGUACUACUUUGGAAAAAGGUAAAGGAAGAAAAGAGGUCUGUGGACUAAUCAAAAUAUCAAUUAAAUUGGAAGAGUCCGAAGAACCAUUAACUCUCCAAGUUUAAAGCUGUAUGUUAGUUUUCUUUUUCCUUCACUACAUAGCACAGUCGGGGUCAUGGGGGGAGACACCAGCAAGCAAGAUUAUAUGAGUGUAAAAUAAAGAAGUAAUGUUUUAUUUGGACAUUUCAUAAAGCAUGAAUACAUUUUUAAAUGCAGAACCGACACACAUUGAGAUUCAAAAAAAUGAGAAGUACGUAAACAAUCAUUUCCCUUUUUAAAUCUUUCCUCCAUCACUCUAUUUGUCUUUUCCUUUCUCCUCCUCUCUUGUUUUUAUUUGCCUUUGAAAUAAGAUAGCAUGGAAACUGAAAAAAAAAAAAAAAAAAAAAAAAAAAAAAAAGGCAGAAAGGCCCGGAAAACUAUAAAAGUAUUUGUCCCAGGCUGCUGUUAACUCAUUUGGGUACCAAAACAAAGAAAUUACAUCUUUCCACAUCUUACUACACUCUAUAAAAUGGAGAUAAUAUACAAAUUCACUUGAGAUAGAGUUGAGAACAAGAGCUUUAAAAAAUGCUUGCGAAGCACCUUGCAAAUGUUAUACAAUAUAAAUAAUUCUAUAUUUUUCCAACUGUUCCCAAAAGAGAAUCAGGGCCUUGUCCUAUUCUCCAGAGGUCAAGACAGAGUUAGGAGAAGAACUCCCUCCAGCUCUGUUACAUUCCCUACUAUCUAUUGACCGAGCCAGAUGUUGGCAGGUAUAAAAUCUGAGACAGCUGGUUAUCCAGCCCCUUAGGGCCAAAUGCUCCAAAAAAUCACUUUUUCUGCAGCACGCAUCCUGAUUCAGAAUCUCUGAGCUAAUUAUCAGGGUUGUGAUUCUCAAUCUAAUCAUUUCUACUAUGCCUCCAGAGUAAGAGGGAAUCUCAAAAUUAACACUUAGUAUGCGGAAGUGUACACAGACAAUAUGCAGAUGGCCCACACAGGUUUAAAUCAUUAAAGCGGUUUCCAUUUCUGUUUAUGUUCCUCUUAGGUUUAUAAAAUCAUCAAAAACUAUUUACUUAGGGAGUUCCUGUUGUGGCUCAGUGGUAACAAAUAUGACUAGUAUCCAUAAGGAUGUGGGUUCAAUCCCUGGCCUCGCUCAGUGAGUUAAGGAUCUGGCAUUGCUGUGAGCUGUGGUGUAGGUCGCAGAUGGGGCUCUGAUCCUGCAUUGCUGUAGCUGUGGUGUAGGGCAGCAGCUGUAGCUCUUAUUCCCAUAGCCUGGGAACUUCCAUAUGCCUCAGGUGUGGCAAACAAACAAAGAAACUAUUUACUGAGCUCUUAAAGUAUACAACACACUUCAGGGAGACACUAAGAUCUAAUCUGUUUCCCACCCCUUGUUGAACUCGGGAUUUAUAAAAAUUGUAAUUCAGACAAAGAAGCAACUAUGCAUAUGAUUUUGCACAGAAAAUAAGCAAAAGUGAUACCAACACACAGUCUUAAAUGACUGAAUUGGGGCAAAGGGUGAUUGGUAACAAGAAUUAGACACCGCAUCAUCUUUUUCCUGGUCUGUCCAGAAAAACUAUCCAGAGUCAGGACUUAAAUUCUGUAGGGAAGAAUGAAAGAGGUGUGGUUUGCCAGAGAAGAAGAUGAAAUUACACUGGUCACGGAAGACAGUGAUUAUCAAAGCACAAAGGGAAGAAAUAGAAAAAUGAUUUCUGUUUGUUGAAAUUUUUCUUAGUGCUAAAAAGGUAUAUAACUCAUGUGCAAUCCAUGAUAUAUCCACAUCAUCACACGUACUGGGGGACAGGGCGACACAGUGGUAAGGGUAGAAUGAGAUUAUUUGGGGUCAAAACCUAGCUCCCCUACAUACCAGUUUCAUAAACUUUGGCAAGGUAUGCAUCCUCUGUUUCUUCCUAUGUAAAACUGGAAUAAUAACAGCACUUAACUUCAUAGGAUUGGCAUAAGCAUAAGAUAUAGCACACCUGAAGUUUUUAAUACAAUGCGAGCACCUACUAAAAGUAACUGUUAAUCCUGUUGCUACUGUGAUUUAGAAAUUCUGAGAUGGUCUUAGAAAAUUGUGAAUUACAACUCUACAUCCAAUUUCAUUAUUAUAUAGUAUAUGAUACUGGUUAUUUAUUCAUAAAAAGUAGAAAAAGACUGCUUACUCUGCUAAGUACAUGUUUCAUUUAUAAAAUAAGCAUAUUAAUAUUUUUCAGAUCAAGAUUCUUUGAAG